rnacentral:tRNA from 1 species
UGACUAAUGAUAUGAAAAACCAUCGUUGUCAUUCAACUAUAAGAAC